AGGACCGCUCAACCACAGCGUUUGGAAGGCUUUUCCCACGGUUAUGAAGCUAGUACUGAAUUUCAGUCGGAUACUGGGAAAUUGUGUCCAUAUCGGUAGAUCCUAUUCUUUCCGUGAAGGAUGGAAAAGCAUACAUAUCCCAGAAACCACGCGCUGUGCCGCUAAAUUUGGAGCGUUGAGAAGCGAUUACGUGGUGCGCACUUUUUGCAGAUCUUUUAUGAAACACAUCGGGUAAUUUUGAAAUCUGUGCACCGUGUAGCACAAACGCAGAGGGGUGCAUGCCAGGAUAGGAGAUUUAUUUGGAGAAAUGCUUGUUUCCAAAGCCGAUUUUUUUGCCAACAAUCGCAUAGGCUGUGAAGUCCGGCUUUUAAUGCAUUACAUACACUGAAGAUCAUGUGAAAACAAGAAUGAGAAGAACUGAUUAGAUUUACAUGCCCUUUGGGCUCCCGAGUGGCGCGGUCUAAGGCACUGCAUCUCAGUGCUUGAGGCGUCACUACAGACACCCUAGUUCGAUUCCAUGUUGUAUCAGAACAUGUAAUGUAAAUGUAACCGGCUGUUAUUGGGAGUCCCAUGGGGUGGCGCACAAUUUGUUCUUAAUUGGCUUGCCUAGUUAAAUAAAGUUUUAAUAAAAUUAAAAAAAUAGGUACAAAGCUGUUUGAUAACUGCUUCUGCAAGCUAGCUUGCUACAAUGCUAACUAGUGUGCAAGGAUAACUUUACAAGUGAUACAUUCAUUGGCAUUUAUGCUAUAUUCUUACUAGUUAGCUAUUCCCUGUACAAUGUAAUAGGGGACUUGUCGCAGCAGGCUGUCACAAACAUUCCACUGAUAAGAAUGAUUAUUUCCUAAGUUAUCUUUGAACAGUUAGGGGGGUUCAAAGAAAACCAAUUAAUGGACCUUGUUCCAGUUUCAAUUAACAUAUCUGAAGGAGACCCCAAACUCUCAAUGGAAUAUUGAAGAUCACAUCAAAACCAAAUUGCCCAACAUUAGCCUUUCAUUGCUAAAGCCCCACUUCCUGGAUAUUUUGCUGGAGUUCCACAUCAUCAUGAUCAGGGUGAGAGAACAAAAGAACACACAUCUCACUGUACGUCACAUUUUCCCACAUACUUAUUGGAUUAAUUACAACUAAAUGUCUAUUUUUACAGGGUAACAGUGGGUUGAAGCCCAAAGACAAUGAAAUUAACCCUAAACCCUGGCCAAUCAACUACCAGGUUAGCAUGUUGAAUACUGUGUGGUUUGACAGUCCCAUAAAGAUAUUAACUUAUCACUGUGUCUUUGAUCUAUUUCUAUAAAGGGAUGGAGUUUCUCAGGAGAGAAUGAGACGGAAUACCGUGUCUACCUGUUAGGGAACCCUGUGAUCUGGUGGCUGAACCUGGUCAGUCUGGGCCUGUAUGUGGUUAUGGUGGCAGCAGCCUCUCUGGCCCUCAACAGAGGAGUCCAGCUGGACAUGAGAAAAGUAGGUAGGAGGAUUUAGAACUUCCCUGUCAUGAGUAACUAUUUUGAGUACCUCAUUCUAACGCUGAUGUGUAUGUGCAGAGCAUUGUUGCGUGCUGAUGGAAGGUGGAGGACUGCUGCUCCUGAGCUGGUUGCUGCACUAUGUACCCUUCUACACAUUUACAUUACAUUUACAUUUUAGUCAUUUAGCAGACGCUCUUAUCCAGAGCGACUUACAGUAGUACACCACGGGCCGCAUCCUUUACUACCACCACUACUUCCCUGCCAUGCUCUUCAGCUGCACACUAACAGGUACAGUGGGCCUACCACAAAAACACAUGCUCCCCAUAAUUCCCCUGGUCAUGUAGACCAACUCAGUGGCCUUGUGGUUAGUGUCAGUCCUUGGAGUGGAAGGUUGGGAGUUCGAUUCAUACCAAAAGACAAAAAAUGUGAUCCGAUGCAUCUCUGCUUGGAGCCACCACAGCAUUAAGGAGAUCGAUUGGAGGUAAGGCCAUCAAGCUGCCUCAUGCUGCAGAAGCAGGAGGUAGGCUCCUGCUCCUAUGAGCUGUUCCGGCUCGCACAAGGCUACUUACAGUUGAAGUUGUAAGUUUACAUACACUUAGGUUGGAGUCAUUAAAACUCGUUU